rnacentral:rRNA from 1 species
UACGAAGGGGGCUAGCGUUGUUCGGAAUCACUGGGCGUAAAGGGCGCGUAGGCGGCCGAUCAAGUCGGGGGUGAAAGCCUGUGGCUCAACCACAGAAUUGCCUUCGAUACUGUUUGGCUUGAGACCGGAAGAGGUUAGUGGAACUGCGAGUGUAGAGGUGAAAUUCGUGAGAUAUUCGCAAGAACACCAGUGGCCGGAAGGCGGCUG